rnacentral:rRNA from 1 species
ACACUCCUGCGGGAGGCAGCAGUGGGGAAUAUUGCACAAUGGGCGCAAGCCUGAUGCAGCGACGCCGCGUGGGGGAUGAAGGCCUUCGGGUUGUAAACUCCUUUCGCUAGGGACGAAGCUUUUUUGUGACGGUACCUAGAUAAGAAGCACCGGCUAACUACGUGCCAGCAGCCGCGGUAAUACGUAGGGUGCGAGCGUUGUCCGGAAUUACUGGGCGUAAAGGGCUCGUAGGUGGUUUGUCGCGUCGUCUGUGAAAUUCUGGGGCUUAACUCCGGGCGUGCAGGCGAUACGGGCAUAACUUGAGUGCUGUAGGGGUAACUGGAAUUCCUGGUGUAGCGGUGAAAUGCGCAGAUAUCAGGAGGAACACCGAUGGCGAAGGCAGGUUACUGGGCAGUUACUGACGCUGAGGAGCGAAAGCAUGGGUAGCGAACAGGAUUAGAAACCCCGGUAGUCCCAUG